GACGAACGCUGGCGGCGUGCUUAACACAUGCAAGUCGAGCGGUAAGGCCCUUUCGGGGGUACACGAGCGGCGAACGGGUGAGUAACACGUGGGUGACCUGCCCUCAGCUCUGGGAUAAGCCUGGGAAACCGGGUCUAAUACCGGAUAUGACUCCAUGACGCAUGUUGUGGGGUGGAAAGCCUUGUGCGGCUGAGGAUGGGCCCGCGGCCUAUCAGCUUGUUGGUGGGGUGAUGGCCUACCAAGGCGACGACGGGUAGCCGGCCUGAGAGGGCGACCGGCCACACUGGGACCGAGACACGGCCCAGACU
rnacentral:rRNA from 1 species